rnacentral:rRNA from 1 species
GACGAACGCUGGCGGCGUGCCUAAUACAUGCAAGUCGAACGCAGUGGGGACGGGUGAGUAACACGUGGGUAACCUCCCGUCAGAGGGGAUAACCCUUGGUAACAGGUGCUAAACCGAUACUGAUGGAUGAACCAGCUGUGCAUUAGCUAGUUGGUGAGGUAACGGCUCACCAAGGCCACGAUGCAUAGCCGACCUGAGAGGGUGAUCGGCCACACGGGAACUGAGACACGGCCCAGACUCCUACGGGAGGCAGCAGUAGGGAAUCUUCGGCAAUGGGCGAAAGCCUGACCGAGCAACGCCGCGUGAGUGAAGAAGGUUUUCGGGUCGUAAAGCACUGUUGUUAGAGAGGCGUUAUCUAAACAGAAAGCCACGGCUAACUCCGUGCCAGCCGCCGCGGUAAUAC